AACGCGAAGAACCUUACCUGGGCUCGAAAUGUAGUGGAAUCCGGUGGAAACAUCGGCGUCUAGCAAUAGACCGCUAUAUAGGUGCUGCAUGGCUGUCGUCAGCUCGUGUCGUGAGAUGUUGGGUUAAGUCCCGCAACGAGCGCAACCCUUAUUACCAGUUGCUACCAUUUAGUUGAGCACUCUGGUGAGACUGCCUCGGAUAACGGGGAGGAAGGCGGGGAUGACGUCAAGUCCUCAUGGCCUUUAUGUCCAGGGCUACACACGUGUUACAAUGCGCGCUACAGAGCGUUGCAAACCCGCGAGGGGGAGCUAAUCGCACAAAAGCGCGCUCAGUUCGGAUUGCAGUCUGCAACUCGACUGCAUGAAGCCGGAAUCGCUAGUAAUGGCGCAUCAGAACGGCGCCGUGAUACGUUCCCGGGCCUUGUACACACCGACUGUAC
rnacentral:rRNA from 1 species